AGUUGUCUCAUCUUGUGCAGGCCCUGCAAGCCAUCCGUAAAAAUAAAACGCACAGGAAAAUUUAAAGGAAGUUCAGCCCGGCAAUUGCACAGCCUCUUAUACCGUUACAUCUGGAGAUCACCACAGCAAACAGAAACACAAAUUGACCACGUUUUGAUCGACGGUCGGCACUUCUCGGAUAUCAUCGACGUCAGAAUCUAUCGUGGCGCUAAUUCAGACCACUACCUGAUGGUCAAACUGUGUUCUAAACUGUCAGUCGUCAAUAACAUAAGACACCAGCGCUCACCACGGUACCACCUAUGAUGACUAUAGGAGUCGAACGUUGCUGCAACAUACUCGCAGCAUCUUGAAGGUGCGUUACCAGGGGUGGAAGAACUGGAUGCUGCUGCCCACGAUGAAUCUUCUUGAAUGGCGUUAACGUUCCCUGUGGAACUUUUGCCGUCUCAACGUAUGCAUUAACUAGCAACGGGAAUCGAACCCGAACACCCGGCAUGAUAAUGUGAGACGCUAACCACUCGGCCACGGGUGCCCUCGAUGAAUGCUGAACACAUUAAAAGCAGCAAUUAGCAGCACAGCAGAGACCGUUUUUGGGUAUGAACAACGAAGAUAACGGAACGAAUGGUUUUGUAGCAGUCACGCUACAAGUUGAGUAUAAAUAAUUAUUAGGGUAGCAGGACAAACAACUCGAACUGCUUUCUAGCACGCCUUACGCCAAACGGCAUAGAUAAAUUGUAUACAAGCGUUGUGUAGUUGGACACAAGCACAGCGAUUCAUGUUCCGUCACACAUACACACCUUUCAAGGUCGACUGGACGCAGUUCCUCACAAUUGGGCUACUUAUGCGCGGCUUAGCGAGAAUCCCGAUGUCAGAUUUCGAGAGGCGACUCCGAUACUCGCGAGAAUGCAGACCCAUGAGAGCGGAAAUCGUUUCUUUGCUCUGUUUCGAGCGAGUUUCGGAAAGAACAUUAUUCGCUUUAACAAAUAUCCAACAGACUCCGACCCCGUACGAAGUAUACCAUCCCUAAUUCGACCGGUUGAUAUCUAUGGGCACGAUGCAUGGACGAUGUUUGAAGAGGACUCACAAGCGGUUGGUGUUUUUAAACGCCGAGUGCUCAGAACAAUAUACAGUGGUGUACAGGAAAACGGAGUAUGGAGAAGAUGAAUGAACCACGAACUGGCGCAACUCUACGGCGAAACCAGCAUCCAGAAAGUUGCCAAGGCUGGACGAGUGCGAUGGGCAGGGCAUGUUCCAAGAUUGCCGAACAUCAGCCCUGCAAAGAUAGUGUUCGCAUCGAAUCCGAUAGGAACAAGGAGAGCGAGGUAAUUGGACCAGGUGGAGCAAGACUUAGCAAGAAUCUGUGCAGCCGGGAGUUGGAGAAUUGCAGCUAUGGAUCGGAUUUAUUGGCGAAAAGAUGUGAAUCAGAUCUGAUCUAUGAAUGGGAUGGCCACUUAACUAUAUCUUCUAUAAAAACAACAAACAUGGCAAUAUUUGCAAGUAUUAAGUGUUCUGCCCAUGUUUGCAUAGGAGACGUAAUCACCAACACCAUUAGUGUUGGGAAAACGCAUUUUUGUUGUUUUUUGGCCUACAAGCAUAACCAUGCAAACUUCCAAUGAAAUGAUCUGUCUAUUUGAAGGAUAUUAUCGGCAAAAAGAGAGCCUAGUAGAUUUGGCGGAUUAACACAUAUAUUUUCCAUUUGGAAAACGCAUGCGUCUAACAAUCAGUCAUUUCAAUGAACAUUUGUUCGCAUAACUAGACGUAAUCACCAGGUUGCUUUGUCUGUAGUGUUAGCAUUUACCUUUCCGAUAAUAGUCAAAACGGCUCUGUCGAUAGUUUCAGUUGUUGUCGGAUAAAAUCAAAUAGGUUUGGAAGAAAUUCCAAUGAACUAACCAUCACAUGAAGGAAUUGAA